rnacentral:lncRNA from 1 species
GUAAAUCUAAGUGAAGGCAAAAGUUUUGCCUUAUCGAUUAGUUAAGAAGAAAACUGUCCAGUUAAUUUAUGAAAAGCCGGACGAAAUCAAUACAAGCAGAGCACGCUACUCACAUGGCAAGAACCCUCGCAACCGUACAGCCAGCCUCCCCUAGACUCUUUGAAAAUACAAUAUCCACGAACCCCGAUAUUGUGACUUUCAGGGACGGAGCCAGGAUUUUAGCAUGAGGGGGGCGAAAAACACAGUGAUCAUCUUAAAGAAAACCCAAGAAUCAUAACAUGUGAGCGCGUGGCACUAAACCUUACAGGGCGACCCAAUUUUCAUCAUGCGAUCGGCCCUAUUGUUGAGGAUAUGUGUGCCGAAGACAAUCUGUUGCCGCUUUGGCUCGCAUCCAGCACAUGCCGUGCAUUCAGCCCCGUCUCGACAAAGCAUAGUUGAAAAUUUGAAAAUAUAUACCACCGCGAUCAAAUCAUUCGGAACGUACGAUCUAAAACUAACAUGUUCAUUACAACAAUUUUACCUCUGUAAUUGCCAACCAGAUCGAACAAACCUAUCAGAAAAAAUAUCAAAUGAUUUGAAAACUAUACAUCAUGGUAUACGUAUGUAAUGCUCCAAUUAAUCAAGACUAGCUAGUAGAUUGCUAUCCAGAUGAAAUACGACUUAAUUGGAGUAGCAAUUACCUUUAGAUUGGCGUGCUCAAGAUCCAAAAACGGUUUAGAGUGCUUGGUUAAAUAUGAUCACCGGCAGACUCCAAUGGAUAACACGUAGGAAAGAUGAAAACAGGAGAGGAUGGAUAGCACCGCGGCAGUAUCCUGGUCUGCUCGUGGCUGCCAUGGCGGCAAGCAGAGGCGCAGCUGCGUAGUCAAUCUAUCGAUUAGCGUCUAAUAAGGUUAGUGGCAACUAGCGUCUAGGUCUGCUCAGAACGACAAACAGGCUUCUAGGCUUUCAUUAGACCGUAAUGAGUUAUUUUUGGGCUGGGUGUACAAUUUUUAACAAUUUUUAAUUGUGAAUAUUUUUUUAACAAUUUUGUUCGGGUCUCUCUCUACCAUUAAGUCUAUGCCACUCUCUGCCAUUAAUUCUAUGCCAUAAUCCCACAAUCUUCGGAUCUCAUUUAUUGAGUGUCAAUUUUCUCCUGAUCUGUCUCUCUUCAUAACCCCACAAUUUUCUCCGUCUCUCUCUACCAUUAAGUUUAUGUCACUCUCUGCCAUUAAUUCUAUGCCAUAAUCCCACAAUCUUCGGAUCUCAUUCGUUGAGUGUUAAUUUUCUCCCGAUAUGUCUCUCUCCAUAACCUCGGUCUCCCGGUCUUUUUCUUUUCCUCAGUAAUUUCCUUCAUAAUAAUCCCAAUUUUUUUCUUCCUAUGGAGAGAAGGAUUAACUCCUUACAGAUUUUCUGGGCCGCUUAUAUUGAUAUCAAGUGGUAAAGGUAUAUAAGUUGAUGGUAUUUUGUGAAAGGAAGCGAAAUGGGACAAUACAACACAUAUGUGCAUUUUAAUUACAUAAUUGUAAGCUAGUCCACUUGGAUGUCCACUUGACGAUUGUACUAUAGGUCAUGAGUUCGAAUUGAACUUUACCGAUUUUUUUGGCUCACGGCACUUCAGUGUUUACCUGGCCCGUCUUGUGGAUUUGUUGAGGCCCAUGUGGCUGAGAGGUUUGACGGGGCAAGAACAAUGUUUUUACUACGUUCGAAAAUCUGGCAAAUAAACGGACGGACGAAAAUUCGGAAGGAAAAUUUUAAUUAGUACCACCUCACGUAUCAGAAAAAUCAUCUACAGUACGUAACGAAAAAAAAACUAAACGCGAGAUGAAACCAAG